GUUACACACAGCUGAAUCUAAUCCUAAUACAUCUCUCCUUUCAGAAAUGCCAGCUAAUUUUAGCACAGGCUACAAAUAGGAAAAUCAUGAAAAAUCAGUCAUCAAAACAAAUAAUAAAAUAUGUAGUAGAAUACAACUAAUUUAAAAAAAUGUAGGCAGAAAAAAUUAAGCAGGGAGGCAUCAGUCAUAUUUUGCCUUUUUUUUUUUUUUUUUUUUUUUUUAACUUCACAAGAACGUAUGUAGGUGUGGCAAAGCAGGCACUCUGUUCGCUGGAUGUGGUCGGGAAUUCGUUGAACCUUCCAGAGAAAGAGGCUUGGUACAUACCAAGAGCCAGGAACACCUCUCUGAAGCUGCCGUCUGAAGGAAAUACUCUGACAUUUGACAAGGCGCGUGUACUGGAAGAGGAAGAAGCGUAUCUUCUCCAUCUUCUGCAAAGCGCGAGUCCCUUAAACCGAAUUAUAACGAGGUGUAACGUCCAUGCAGUGCAUCAGACCCGUCUUCACAGACAGGUACACCCGCUCACCGCCACCCAGUUGAAACAUACCCGGCAGGUUCCCUUCCCUGGUCCUGGGAAGGACUCAUGUUGAUUCACAGUCUUUAAAAAACCCCGGCUGGCUGGGUGGAGGGUGGGUUGGUGAAGGGCAGGGGAAGGAGUGGACUUCUCAGGCCGGUCAUCCGCUCCCAGGGGCCACCGUGGGUGGGGCGGGAGUGGCCUGUGGCCUCGGCCCUGCAUCUGGCUCCCAAGGCUGCUCAGGCCUCUCGGCUGACCGGGUCCCUCUGCUCUGGCACUGGGACAUCGUUAGGAUGCUGCACACUGGGUCAUCUGAUCAGGGUGGGGGGUUCCUGCCCUUUUGCCGCCAGACUCACUGUCAGAAGGCGGGGGGUGGAUGGAGCUGGGGACACGUGGGCACAGUGGUGUGAGCCACCAGGCUUGCCUCCAAGACUCUUUAAGAGCUAGCAUUUAUCGGGCGCCAACUGCACGUUAGGCUGUCUGCAAUAACCCUGCACAGGAGCAAUUAUUACCUUCAGUUUUACUGCCGGGAAACUGAGCUCGAGUGAGAGGAGUUACUUGGCCUGGGGAGCUGGGUGGAACCAGUAUUUGAACUGAGGCCUGUUUGAUGCCAAAGCCUGGGUGCUAUCCAGUGCCCCCCACAACCUUGCUGGUCUGGUCCCGCUGAAGGAAGGUGUAGGCCAGCUGGCCGGGGAGGUCUAUACGCAGAGGUCUGGACCGCAGCCGGCCCCCGGCUCUGUUCAGUCUGACUGUCUGCUUAUGUCCAGCUGUGAGGCACAGGGGAACCUGGGUCCAACUGGGCAGAAUCUGUGAUGGGAAGUUUGCUCCUCAGGGGCCAGCUGGCUGCGACUCCCAGCUUCUUGGCUGACCGCCUGGAUGCUCCAGACCUGGGUAGGCGGAAAGGGGGUGGAGCAGGGGAGCGAAGGGGUCUGGAGC
rnacentral:lncRNA from 1 species